rnacentral:tRNA from 1 species
UGCCGGACGAGCGCCGGGCGGCCGAACUUCGAGUGAUCGGCGGCGAGAAAAACGGUGCGCGCGUGUUCGAUGAUCGCUUCCGCGAC